UACGAAGGGGGCUAGCGUUGCUCGGAAUCACUGGGCGUAAAGGGUGCGUAGGCGGAUCUUUAAGUCAGGGGUGAAAUCCUGGAGCUCAACUCCAGAACUGCCUUUGAUACUGAGGAUCUCGAGUUCGGGAGAGGUGAGUGGAACUGCGAGUGUAGAGGUGAAAUUCGUAGAUAUUCGCAAGAACACCAGUGGCGAAGGCGGCUCACUGGCCCGAUACUGACGCUGAGGCACGAAAGCUAGGGGAGCGAACGGG
rnacentral:rRNA from 1 species